AUCUCAUGAUGAGGACAUUCUAGGAUGUAAUCUUGAAAGCGCCCCUAGGCUUAUGGGACUGACUCAUUAUUUUGUUGCUAAAAACUUGAAAUUUUCCCACGCAGAGCAU
rnacentral:snoRNA from 1 species